CCACUUCGGUGGGGAUUAGUGGCGAACGGGUGAGUAACACGUGGGCAAUCUGCCCUUCACUCUGGGACAAGCCCUGGAAACGGGGUCUAAUACCGGAUACUGACCGGCCUGGGCAUCCAGGCGGGUCGAAAGCUCCGGCGGUGAAGGAUGAGCCCGCGGCCUAUCAGCUUGUUGGUGAGGUAAUGGCUCACCAAGGCGACGACGGGUAGCCGGCCUGAGAGGGCGACCGGCCACACUGGGACUGAGACACGGCCCAGACUCCUACGGGAGGCAGCAGUGGGGAAUAUUGCACAAUGGGCGAAAGCCUGAUGCAGCGACGCCGCGUGAGGGAUGACGGCCUUCGGGUUGUAAACCUCUUUCAGCAGGGAAGAAGCGAAAGUGACGGUACCUGCAGAAGAAGCGCCGGCUAACUACGUGCCAGCAGCCGCGGUAAUACGUAGGGCGCAAGCGUUGUCCGGAAUUAUUGGGCGUAAAGAGCUCGUAGGCGGCUUGUCACGUCGGUUGUGAAAGCCCGGGGCUUAACCCCGGGUCUGCAGUCGAUACGGGCAGGCUAGAGUUCGGUAG
rnacentral:rRNA from 1 species